AACUCCGUGCCAGCAGCCGCGGUAAUACGGAGGGUGCAAGCGUUGUCCGGAAUCAUUGGGCGUAAAGAGUUCGUAGGUGGUUUGUUAAGUUUGGUGUUAAAUGCAGAGGCUCAACUUCUGUUCGGCAUCGGAUACUGGCAGACUAGAAUGCGGUAGAGGUAAAGGGAAUUCCUGGUGUAGCGGUGAAAUGCGUAGAUAUCAGGAGGAACAUCGGUGGCGUAAGCGCUUUACUGGGCCGUAAUUGACACUGAGGAACGAAAGCCAGGGUAGCAAAUGGGAUUAGAUACCCCAGUAGUCCUGGCCGUAAACGAUGGAUACUAGGUGUUGCGGGUAUCGACCCCUGCAGUGCCGUAGCUAACGCGUUAAGUAUCCCGCCUGGGGAGUACGCACGCAAGUGUGAAACUCAAAGGAAUUGACGGGGACCCGCACAAGCGGUGGAACAUGUGGUUUAAUUCGAAGCAACGCGAAGAACCUUACCAGGGCUUGACAUCUAACAAACCUUUGUGAAAGCAGAGGGUGCUCUUCGGAGAAUGUUAAGACAGGUGGUGCACGGUUGUCGUCAGCUCGUGUCGUGAGAUGUUGGGUUAAGUCCCGCAACGAGCGCAACCCUCGUCGUUAGUUGGUACUAUCGGUAUACUUAUAGUAACCUCUCUAGCGAGACUGCCGGUGAUAAACCGGAGGAAGGUGAGGACGACGUCAAAUCAUCAUGCCCCUUAUGCUCUGGGCUACACACGUGUUACAAUGGCCGGUACAAUGAGCCGCCAACUCGCGAGAGUGAGCAAAUCUCUAAAAGCCGGUCUCAGUUCGGAUUGCAGUCUGCAACUCGACUGCAUGAAGU
rnacentral:rRNA from 1 species